rnacentral:rRNA from 1 species
GGAAUGAGUAGCGCGAAUGCAGUGAGAAUCUGCAUGGCCGAAAGCCUCAGGUUUUUGGAGGAAGGUUCGUCCGCUCCAAGUUAGUCGGGAGCUAAGGUGAGGCCGAAAGGCGUAGCCGAUGCACAGACGGUAGAGAUUCCGUCACCACCAAAAGAGUUAAGCACAGGGACACAUUUGAAGUCUCAGAGCCGGGUGUUGGUUCCGGUAGAGAUCGAGGGAAAUUAGUACCGAAGUCUGGGAUGGAAGAUGGCGAGAAAAGCUGUGUGUAUUUCUGAGGUGCCCGUACCGCAAACCGACACAGGUAGGUAGGAAGAAGAUUCUAAGGCCAACGGGAGAAGGGUUGUUAAGGAACUCGGCAAAUUGACCCCGUAACUUCGGGAGAAGGGGUGCUCCAGAGAUGGAGCCGCAGAGAAUCGGCCCAAGCAACUGUUUACCAAAAACACAGGUUUGUGCUAAAUCGAAAGAUGACGUAUACGAGCUGACGCCUGCCCGGUGCUGGAAGGUUAAGAGGAGAUGUGCAAGCAUUGAAUCGAAGCCCCAGUGAACGGCGGCCGUAACUAUAACGGUCCUAAGGUAGCGAAAUUCCUUGUCAGGUAAGUUCUGACCCGCAUGAAAGGCGUAAUGAUUUGGGCACUGUCUCAACAGCCCGCCCGGCGAAAUUGUAGUACCGGUGAAGAUGCCGGUUACCCGCGACAAGACGGAAAGACCCCAUGGAGCUUUACUGUAGCCUAAUAUUGGGUUUCGAUGUUGCAUGCACAGGAUAGAUGGGACACAGGGAAACAAUCGCUUUGGCGGUUGCGGAGUGGCCGUUGGGAUACCAUCCUUGCGAUAUUGGAAUUCUAACCUGCGGCUCUGAAUCGAGUCGGGGGACAUUGUUAGGUGGGCAGUUUGACUGGGGCGGUCGCCUCCUAAAAAGUAACGGAGGCGUUCAAAGGUUCGCUCAGCUUGAACGGAAAUCAAGCAAAAGAGUGCAAACGCAGAAGCGAGCCUAACUGCGAGACUGACGGGUCGAGCAGUAACGAAAGUUGGAGUUAGUGAUCCGGUGGUAUGUGAGUGGAAAUGCCAUCGCUCAACGGAUAAAAGUUACCCUGGGGAUAACAGGCUGAUCUCCCCCAAGAGUCCACAUCGACGGGGAGGUUUGGCACCUCGAUGUCGGCUCAUCGCAUCCUGGGGCUGUAUUCGGUCCCAAGGGUUUGGCUGUUCGCCAAUUAAAGCGGUACGCGAGCUGGGUUCAGAACGUCGUGAGACAGUUCGGUCCCUAUCUGUCGUGGGCGCAGGAUAUUUGAUGGGAGCUGUCCCUAGUACGAGAGGACCGGGACGGACGUACCUCUGGCGCACCAGUUGUUCCGCCAGGAGCAUAGCUGGGCAACUACGUACGGAUCGGAUAAACGCUGAAAGCAUCUAAGCGUGAAGCCGACCCAAAGAUAAGAUAUCCCACUGAUUUGAUCAGGUAAGAUCCCUUGAAGACUACAAGGUUGAUAGGCACGAUGUGUAAGUGGAGUGAUCCAUUCAGCAAGAGUGUACUAAUAGAUCGAGGGCUUGACCA